ACGGAGGGUGCGAGCGUUGUUCGGAAUCACUGGGCGUAAAGCGCGUGCAGGCGGCCUGUUAAGUCAGAUGUGAAAUCCCUUGGCUCAACCGAGGAACUGCAUCUGAAACUAAUGGGCUUGAGUACGGGAGAGGAGAGUGGAAUUCCCGGUGUAGAGGUGAAAUUCGUAGAUAUCGGGAAGAACACCGGUGGCGAAGGCGGCUCUCUGGACCGAUACUGACGCUGAGACGCGAAAGCGUGGGGAGCAAACAGG
rnacentral:rRNA from 1 species